rnacentral:rRNA from 1 species
AUUGAACGCUGGCGGCAGGCCUAACACAUGCAAGUCGAGCGGAUGAAGGGAGCUUGCUCCUGGAUUCAGCGGCGGACGGGUGAGUAAUGCCUAGGAAUCUGCCUGGUAGUGGGGGAUAACGUCCGGAAACGGGCGCUAAUACCGCAUACGUCCUGAGGGAGAAAGUGGGGGAUCUUCGGACCUCACGCUAUCAGAUGAGCCUAGGUCGGAUUAGCUAGUUGGUGGGGUAAAGGCCUACCAAGGCGACGAUCCGUAACUGGUCUGAGAGGAUGAUCAGUCACACUGGAACUUAGACACGGUCCAGACUCCUACGGGAGGCAGCAGUGGGGAAUAUUGGACAAUGGGCGAAAGCCUGAUCCAGCCAUGCCGCGUGUGUGAAGAAGGUCUUCGGAUUGUAAAGCACUUUAAGUUGGGAGGAAGUGCAGUAAGUUAAUACCUUGCUGUUUUGACGUUACCAACAGAAUAAGCACCGGCUAACUUCGUG